rnacentral:lncRNA from 1 species
CAUGGAGAUUGACACAUUUAACAUUUUAGAUCAGCGCUGAAUGCUUCUCCCACCACAGCAGUAAGUCAUUUCAUACAGCAGCAACAUGAAACUCUGCAGGGGAUUCCUGCUGCGCAUCGACACCAGACUGCUCUGGGCACCUCAAGUUCAACAGAUUUAAUUGGAGCCCCUCGAUUUCCUCCACAUCCAUUUCCCCUUCAAAGACCCCUUUCUCAGUUAAGGUAUCUUCCUUACCUACUCCCCAGGACUCAAAACCAAGGUGUUACUUUCGGUGCCUCCUCUGUCAUUCCCACAUCCAAACCAUUGCCAAGUUCGGAUGAUUAUAUUUCCAUGACUUGCUUCACUAUGGUUCCCUUCUUCCCCAUUUAUGCUGCCAUUGUCUUAGUUUGCACCUUCAUUAUGUCUGAACUGUUCACCCUACCACCAGCCUCUCCUGCUUUCAUUUCGUCCUACUCACGGAUGCCCAACCCAUUCUCCCAAAGCUCAGAUCUAAUCAUGUUUCUUCAAGGCAAACAACAACGAAAACCAACCAAACCAAAGACAACCACAACAAAACCACGUACACUGCCCCCGACACACACGCACAUGCACAU